rnacentral:lncRNA from 1 species
UUGCGGUGAACGGUAUUACCUCUGGUGAACUCUGAACUCCUUCAACGGCGACAACGGUGGCUGGUGAGUGAGUGUGACAGAGGCGAGAGUGAGACUGCUUAUGAUCGGUGGAAAGAAACGCGAAGAUGAUCGGCGGUGCCGCCUCUUGGUGGACCUCUGGUGGCCGUUGAACGGCGAACGACGGUGGAGUCGUCAAGGGGCUUUGGUCGUUGGGAGGGUUUCGUUCUCUCUCUAGGUUUCGUUCUCAAGAUCUCAGAAUGAAUUUGAAUUUCGGAAAAUGAUUCGUUCCAAUUUCUGAUACCGCCCUCCAUUUUCCACAUCAUUUAUUUUUUUUUUUAUUUUUUUAAAGAUGAACCAAUGAGAGACUGACACAUCAUUGGUAUAAAAAAUUUGUCACCCAAAGGGUGUCAAACUAUCAUUUUCCUAUACUUUAUGAGUUCGAUCUAUCAUAAAUAUGAUCUUUUAC